rnacentral:rRNA from 1 species
AGUGAACGCUGGCGGCAGGCCUAACACAUGCAAGUCGAACGGCAGCACAGUAAGAGCGCGCCCUUACGGGUGGCGAGUGGCGGACGGGUGAGGAAUACAUCGGAAUCUACUUUUUCGGGGGGGAUAACGGAGGGAAACUUACGCUAAUACCGCAUACGACCUACGGGUGAAAGCAGGGGAGCUUCGGACCUUGCGCGUCAGAAAGAGACGAUGCCGGAUUAGCUAGUUGGCGGGGUAAAGGCACACCAAGGCGACGAUCCGUAGCUGGUCUGAGAGGAUGAUCAGCCACACUGGAACUGAGACACGGUCCAGACUCCUACGGGAGGCAGCAGUGGGGAAUAUUGGGCAAUGGGCGCAAGCCUGAUCCAGCCAUACCGCGUGGGUGAAGAAGGCCUUCGGAUUGUAAAGCCCUUUUGUUGGGAAAGAAAAGCAGCAGGUUAAUCCCCCGCUGUUCUGACGGUACCCAAAGAGUAAGCCCCGGCUAACUUCGUG